UACGGAGGGUGCGAGCGUUGUCCGGAAUCAUUGGGCGUAAAGGGCGCGUAGGUGGCCCGGUGAGUCUUUGGUGAAAGCGCGGGGCUCAACCCUGCGUCGGCCAGGGAUACUGCCGCGGCUCGAGCACUGUAGAGGCAGGCGGAAUUCCGGGUGUAGCGGUGGAAUGCGUAGAGAUCCGGAAGAACACCGGUGGCGAAGGCGGCCUGCUGGGCAGUGGCUGACGCUGAGGAGCGGCAGCGUGGGGAGCAAACAGG
rnacentral:rRNA from 1 species